rnacentral:rRNA from 2 species
GGGCUUGACAUCCCACGAACCUGCCCGAAAGGGUCGGGUGCCCGCAAGGGAGCGUGGAGACAGGUGGUGCAUGGCUGUCGUCAGCUCGUGUCGUGAGAUAUUGGGUUAAGUCCCGCAACGAGCGCAACCCUCACCCCUUGUUGCCACCGGGUCAUGCCGAGCACUCUAGGGGAACUGCCAGCGUCAAGCUGGAGGAAGGCGGGGAUGACAUCAAGUCAUCAUGCCCCUUACGCCCUGGGCAACACACGUGCUACAAUGGCUGGUACAAAGGGACGCAAGACCGCGAGGUGGAGCUAAUCCCAAAAAACCAGUCUAAGUUCAGAUUGCAGUCUGCAACUCGACUGCAUGAAGGAGGAAUCGCUAGUAAUCGCGCAUCAGCACGGCGCGGUGAAUACGUUCCCGGGCCUUGUACACACCGCCCGUCACACCACGAAAGCCGGCUGUACUCGAAGUCGCUGAG